AUUGAACGCUGGCGGUAGGACUAACACAUGCAAGUCGAACGGUAACACACUGAAAGCUUGCUCUUACUGGUGGAGGGUUGCGUAAUGCUGAGGAAUGCAUCGGAAUCUAGGUUUUCGUUGCUGAUAACGGUAGGAAACUUCCCAUAAUACCUCAUGCGACCUACGGGUGACAGCAGGGGAUCUUCCGACUUUGCGCGCUUGAAUGAGCCGAUGUCGGAUUAGCUAGUUGGCGGGGUAAAGGCCCACCAAGGCGACGAUCCGUAGCUGGUCUGAGAGGAUGAUCAGCCACACUGGAACUGAGACACGGCCCAGACUCCUACGGGAGGCAGCAGUGGGGAAUAUUGGACAAUGGGCGCAAGCCUGAUCCAGCAAUACCGCGUGGAGGAAGAAGGCCUUCGGGUUGUAAACUGCUUUUGUUGGGAAAGAAAAGCAGCAGGUUAAUACCCCGCGGUACUGACGGUACCGAAAGAAUAAGCACCGGCUAACUUCGUG
rnacentral:rRNA from 1 species